rnacentral:rRNA from 1 species
AUUGAACGCUGGCGGCGUGCCUUACACAUGCAAGUCGAACGGCAGCACGGGAGCAAUCCUGGUGGCGAGUGGCGAACGGGUGAGUAAUAUAUCGGAACGUGCCCAGUAGUGGGUGAUAACUGCUCGAAAGAGCCGCUAAUACCGCAUACGACCUGAGGGUGAAAGGGGGGGAUCGCAAGACCUCUCGCUAUUGCAGCGGCCGAUAUCAGAUUAACUAGUUGGUGGGGUAAAGGCCUACCAAGGCAACGAUCUGUAGUUGGUCUGAGAGGACGACCAGCCACACUGGGACGGAGACACGGCCCAGACUCCUACGGGAGGCAGCAGUGGGGAAUUUUGGACAAUGGGCGCAAGCCUGAUCCAGCAAUGCCGCGUGCAGGAAGAAGGCCUUCGGGUUGUAAACUGCUUUUGUCAGGGAAGAAAUCCUCUAGGUUAAUACCCUUGGGGGGAUGACGGUACCUGAAGAAUAAGCACCGGCUAACUACGUGCCAGCCGCCGCCGUAAGAC